rnacentral:rRNA from 1 species
GAUGAACGCUAGCGGCAGGCUUAAUACAUGCAAGUCGAGGGGCAUCAAGGUACACGAAAGUGUAUUGUUGGCGACCGGCGGACGGGUGAGUAAUAGGUAGGUAACCUACCUCAUACUGAGGCAUAGCUGGGAGAAAUUCCAGGUAAUUCCUCAUGAGGUUAUAUGACACAUGUGAUAUAAUCAAAGGUAUCGCAAGGUACUGGUAUGAGAUGGGCUUACUGACCAUUAGCUAGUUGGUGAGAUAAGAGCUCACCAAGGCGAAGAUGGUUAGGGUUUUGAGAGAGAGAUCCCCACAUUGGAACUGAGAUACGGUCCAGACUCCUACGGGAGGCAGCAGUAGGGAAUAUUGCGCAAUGGACGGAAGUCUGACGCAGCGACGCCGCGUGAGCGAUGAAGGUCUUCGGAUCGUAAAGCUCUGUCCUUGGGGAAGAAGGCGAAAGCUUGACGGUACCCAAGAAGAAAGCCCCGGCUAACUACGUGCCAGC